AGUGAACGCUGGCGGUAGGCCUAACACAUGCAAGUCGAACGGCAGCACAGUAAGAGCUUGCUCUUACGGGUGGCGAGUGGCGGACGGGUGAGGAAUACAUCGGAAUCUACUUUUUCGUGGGGGAUAACGUAGGGAAACUUACGCUAAUACCGCAUACGACCUACGGGGGAAAGGAGGGGAUCUUCGGACCUUGCGCGGUUGAAUGAGCCGAUGUCGGAUUAGCUAGUGGGCGGGGUAAAGGCCCACCAAGGCGACGAUCCGUAGCUGGUCUGAGAGGAUGAUCAGCCACACUGGAACUGAGACACGGUCCAGACUCCUACGGGAGGCAGCAGUGUGGAAUAUUGGACAAAGGGCGCAAGCCUGAUCCAGCCAUACCGCGUGGGUGAAGAAGGCCUUCGGGUUGUAAAGCCCUUUUGUUGGGAAAGAAAAGCAGCAGGUUAAUACCCCGCUGUUCUGACGGUACCCAAAGAAUAAGCACCGGCUAACUUCGUG
rnacentral:rRNA from 1 species